rnacentral:lncRNA from 1 species
UCUUUGACCAUCAACAUGUUGAAUGCAAUGAAUGUAGUCGUUCAUAGAAGAUAGGUCAUUAAUAUACAGUGCUCAUUCAUGACGUAUAUAAAAGAGUGGUUCUAGGAAAGUUAACAAUGCAUUCAAACAAAGUCUUCAUUGAAACAGGUGUUUGCAUUGGUUGAGUGGGAUUUGAUAGGUUUGUGGGUUAGUAGAGUGGUACAAGAGUGAAUUUGGUACUUUAUUUUUCAUGUCAGGUUAGUAUUCAGUGACUUUCAU